rnacentral:rRNA from 1 species
AUACGGAGGGUGCGAGCGUUAAUCGGAAUUACUGGGCGUAAAGCGUGCGUAGGCGGUUUGCUAAGUCAGAUGUGAAAGCCCCGGGCUUAACCUGGGAACUGCAUUUGAUACUGGCAGACUAGAGUAUGGUAGAGGGGGGUAGAAUUCCUGGUGUAGCGGUGAAAUGCGUAGAUAUCAGGAGGAAUACCAGUGGCGAAGGCGGCCCCCUGGAUCAAUACUGACGCUGAGGUACGAAAGCGUGGGGAGCGAACAGAAUUAGAUACCCUAGUAGUCC